CUACGGGAGGCAGCAGUUAGGAAUAUUUUGCAAUGCACGAAAGUGUGACAAAUUGAACUAGAGUGCUUUCCAAUUUGGAAAGCUUUUGCCAAAUGUAAAAAGUUUGGCGAAUAAGGACUGGGUAAGACGAGUGCCAGCCGCCGCGGUAAUACUCGCGGUCCAAGUCGCAGCCAUUUUUAUUGGGUCUAAAACAUCCGUAGCUUGCUUGAUAAGUUCUUUGUGAAAUCCUAAUUCUUAAAAUUAGGGAGUGCAAAGAGUACUAUUAAGCUAGAGACUGGAAGACGUAAGAAGUAUGUUCGAAGUAGCGGUAAAAUGUGUUAAUCUCGGACAGACUCACAAUAGCGAAGGCAUCUUACGAGGACAGUUCUGACAGUAAGGGAUGAAGGCUAGGGGCGCAAAACGGAUUAGAUACCCUCGUAGUC
rnacentral:rRNA from 1 species